CCCCGGAUGCCCGCCCGUCUCGGCCUCCCCCGUUCCGACCGCCCCAGUGUCACUCACCAGCCGGACGGCAGGACAAAGGCCGCGGUCGCCACCAGCCGGGUCUGGGCCUGCGCGGGCGGGCGCCCAACUACAUCUCCCAGAGGGCGGCGCGCGCACUUCCGGUCGUUUCCGUGCUCGCCUCGCCCCCGCCCGGGGCAGUGGCUCGUGCGUUCGGAGUACGAGCUAGGCUUCGAGGACCCCCGCCGGCCUUAGCCUCGCCUCCCCGCCCCAAAACCCUUCCACGCCGUAUUCCCUUGUCGGAUGGCCGGACGAAGGCCACGCCCGCGUUUGACUGGGACUGCGCCUGCGCAGGCGGCGCCGAACUACAACUUCCAGAGGCCCGCGCGCGGGGUCCGUGGGUUCUGCCCCAGCCGUCCGGUCGUGGGGGGUCGAGUUCGAGUUUCGACGACCGUGCUUACGGUGUGGUCGCAAGUGUCCAGUGCCCGCGGGCUGUGCCGUGGGCCCCGCGAACGUCGCCCCCGCGCUCCUACAGCGGUAACUGGCCGGGGACUAGUGUAGACAGAGUGGUCGGGGGGUCAGGGAGGACGCUGAGCGAGGCCGUGGGAAGAUCCCGAGCAGCAGUCUCCGCGAGGAGGUCGCAGCCGGGCCGAGGCCGCGUGGGCAGGGCCUGUGAGUGAGCUUUCACAAACUCAAAUGCCUGCAGGCGCUGGGCUCUAAAGGGUUGGGUGCUGAUGGUCUCAACCAGCUGGUGCCAUGUGAACAGGAUCAGGGGCUGUCUGUAGGGCCAAGACCCUCACCCUUGCCACCUGAGCUCCAAGGAAGAAACUCUGCCUCAGCAGGAUGAGAAAGAAGUUGCUUAGGAAAGAGCUGGAGCCCACAAGAAAUUAAGGCAUGGAGUAGAGCCAGAAGCCCCCAGUGAGGACUUCGAGGAUAAGCCAGGAUGCUGGAGCGAGCCACGAGCAAGGUCUGGAGGCCCAGCUAGUGAGAGUUCCAAGAAGGCAAGCACGGCGAAGGGUGCGAAGGCCGCGGAGGGAUCUGCAUGGCCCAGGACGGUGCUAGCGGACAGAGGCUACAAGUGGGAUGCAGGAGGCAGCGUGGUGGAGAAGCAGCAGUGGGCUGGGCGGGGCAGAUCCAAAGGCUUUUCCAGUUGAAAGGCGACUUAUGGAUGAUUUAAAGGAGAAGGUCUCUGCUUACAUGUGGUCAGAGUCAAUCCAACACUAUUUCCAAGUAAAGUUCAAAAAACAAAACAAAACAAAAAAAACUUCUAAGGCUUUCAUUUACAUGGGGCAAGUGGUGCCCAGCGAUGAAGAGCUGGGGAUGGAUGAAAAGCCGAAUCCAGGUGCGCACACGCUAUCCCCAGAAGUGGUAGGGUAAACUGAGGUGCUUGGGAGACCCCACACCUGCUCUUGGGAAAUCCAGGGUGACCAUAAUGCCAGAUUUUUAUGUGACAUCUAUGAUUUGAAAGAUGUUGGCAUUUAUCUCAAAAAAAAGUCAUUCUGUGAAUCAAACAAAAUCAUGUGCUGGUCAGAUUUGGUUGGACCUAAAAACCCUGCCCGAAAUCCAUUCAGAAAGAAAGCAGAUUAA